AACGAACGCUGGCGGCAUGCCUAACACAUGCAAGUCGAACGAAGCCUUCGGGCUUAGUGGCGCACGGGUGCGUAACGCGUGGGAAUCUGCCCUUUGGUUCGGAAUAACAGUUGGAAACGACUGCUAAUACCGGAUGAUGACGAAAGUCCAAAGAUUUAUCGCCAGAGGAUGAGCCCGCGUAGGAUUAGCUAGUUGGUGUGGUAAAGGCGCACCAAGGCGACGAUCCUUAGCUGGUCUGAGAGGAUGGGCAGCCACACUGGGACUGAGACACGGCCCAGACUCCUACGGGAGGCAGCAGUGGGGAAUAUUGGACAAUGGGCGAAAGCCUGAUCCAGCAAUGCCGCGUGAGUGAUGAAGGCCCUAGGGUUGUAAAGCUCUUUUACCCGGGAUGAUAAUGACAGUACCGGGAGAAUAAGCCCCGGCUAACUCCGUGCCAGCCGCCGCCGUAA
rnacentral:rRNA from 1 species